rnacentral:lncRNA from 1 species
GUGACUACUGUACCAUCUGAGUCAGCUUUCAGUGCCGGACGUCGAGUUAUUAGUGAUGACAGAGCUUCAUUAGGUGAUGACACGGUAAAGGUCUUCUUUGUGCUUCAAAUUGGUUGCGGACUGAGUUCAAUGUAUAAAUAAGGCCAAUGUAAGUAUAACAUCUUACAUGUUCAUGAAUUAUUUAUUAAGUUGUAAAAUUUUAUGAAUUUUAUAUAUAGUCUUACUUUUGCUUUUUAAUUUCAGGUUAUGAUAUUCGGUUAUUCAGGCUAGUUGGAAUGUAGCAUUAUUUUGUUGGUGUAUUGGUAAGAUCCUAAACUUCGUUUAUUCUUAUUGGUAAG